UACAGAGGGUGCAAGCGUUAAUCGGAAUUACUGGGCGUAAAGCGCACGUAGGCGGUUUUUUAAGUCAGAUGUGAAAUCCCCGGGCUCAACCUGGGAACUGCUUUCAAAACUGCUGAGCUAGAGUACGGUAGAGGGUGGUGGAAUUUCCUGUGUAGCGGUGAAAUGCGUAGAUAUAGGAAGGAACACCAGUGGCGAAGGCGACCACCUGGACUGAUACUGACACUGAGGUGCGAAAGCGUGGGGAGCAAACAGG
rnacentral:rRNA from 1 species